AUUGUAGAGUAAACGUUUGCCACUCCAUUUUAACAUGGGCCAUAAUGGUAGUAUUUAGAGAGCCUAAUAUUUUCUGAAGUGGUACGUGGUGUUAAAAGUUUGAGAAACACUGGUCUGGGAAAUUACAAGGAAUCAGCAAAACAUUAAUUCUAUA